rnacentral:rRNA from 1 species
AUGAUGACACUGUUGCAGCAACUAGCCAUUCAUUCUCCUGAUGACAAGGGCUAUGCACUAGAACACGGGUUAAUCAAGUACAAGGGCAGGUUGGUUAUUGGUAAAAAUUUGGCACUACAAACUAAAUUGGUAGCUUCUCUGCAUGACAGUGCUGUGGGCGGACAUUCCGGUAUUCAAGCAACGUAUCAGCGUGCUAAGAAACUCUAUUACUGGCCAGGCAUGAAAUUGGCUGUGGAGCUAUUUGUUAAGCAAUGCCCAAUCUGUCAACACGCUAAGCAUCCACACACUAGACCUGCUGGGCUUCUGCAGCCUUUGCCACCUCCCCAAGCUCCAUGGCAGGAAAUCACAAUGGAUUUUGUGGAAGGUUUGCCAAUGUCUGAUGGUGCCAAUGUGAUUUUGGUCGUCGUUGACCGUCUGACCAAGUAUGCACAUUUUCUGCCCUUACAUCAUCCUUACACAGCGACUACUAUUUCCAAGAUGUUUGUGGAUCAGAUUGUUCGUUUACAUGGAGUACCAUUGUCAAUCAUUUCGGACCGUGACAAGAUCUUCACCAGUCACAUAUGGAAGGACAUGUUCAAGGCAGUGGGCACCAAACUACAUUACAGCACGGCGCAUCAUCCACAAACUGACGGGCAGAGCGAGCGGGUUAAUCAGUGUGUUGAGCAAUAUCUGCGUUGUGCUGUUCAGGAUCGUCCCAAGACUUGGCGGCGAUGGUUGGCAAUGGCAGAAUUCUGGUACAAUACCAGCCACCAUUCCUCUCUUGGGUGCUCUCCCUUCCAUGCACUGUACAAAAGAGAACCCAACUUUGGUGGCAUGCCAAACAUCACUGUUGAUUCGGCCUCUCCAGUUGUGGACACCGCAGCGGAUUAUCAAGAGCACACGGAGUUGCUAAGGGUGCAUCUUCUGCGAGCCCAGCAACGCAUGAAGUCACAGGCAGAUCGUCGCCGCACCGAGCGUCAAUUUGUCGUCGGUGAGCAGGUCCUCUUGAAGCUGCAGCCGUAUGCACAACACUCAGUGGUCAAUCGUCCCUGUCACAAGCUUUCAUACAAAUACUUUGGACCAUACACCAUUCUGGAACGAAUUGGAGAGGUCGCGUACCGCCUGAAAUUGCCGGUUGCUGCCCAAGUACAUCCAGUCUUCCACAUUUCACAGCUAAAGCCUUUCUCGGCCGAUUACUCGCCGGUUUUCAGCGAGCUUCCGCCGCCGGACCUGGUGCUCUGUGAUAAGCUUCCGUCAGCAAUCCUGCAACGCCGCAUGGUCCGUGAUGGCAACAGGGCCACAACUCAAGUGCUUAUCAAAUGGGGUGAUCUGCCAGAUGAUUCCGCCACAUGGGAGAACUAUGAGGUGGUCAAGCAUCGUUUCCCGUCUUCUUCAUUGUGGGAUGAAGCUCAAUCUCAAGCGGCGGCAAGUGUCACGCCUACGCCUGCGUUGGCGGACAACGAGUCGCCUGGCUCAGAAGAUCCAGGCGAGAGAGCUCUGUGA